rnacentral:lncRNA from 1 species
CUGAAAUGGGAAAGGCAGCGCCCCCGACUCUGGGGACUGGACCGAAGUCCACGGUAGUGACAGCUGCCAGACCCUGAGGAGAGGACGAGAAGACCCGAGGCCUCUGCUACGAACACUGGCAGCCGAUGGAAAAUUCAGACGGAUUUGGGACAGUAUGCAGAGUUCUCCAAGCGACAGAUUAACAGAGGCUCUUGAAGAAUAACUGCGUAAUCACGUGUUCUGCUCAAAAGAAGGCCUGAAUGCCCAGUGCCUUAUUUGGCUUUCAGGGGUCUUGCGGUGUCACCCAGGCUAGAGUACAGUGGUGCAAUCAUAGCUCACUGCUGCCUCAAACUCCUAGACUCAAGCAAUCCUCCUGCUUCAGCCUCCCGAGUAGCUGGGACUACAGGUAGAUGAUGGGCUCCACGGGAACAGAGCAAACGUUCGCUCCUGCUCCUACACGGUGUUUCCUCUAAACCUGAGGCUCAGCCGACUUGUCAUCACUUAAAACCCAAUUCAGAGCGGGGGGGCACUGCCAGUGAAUAGUUCAUCACCGACUCAGUUUCCCCAUGUGUAUGCUGUGGUAUUGGAUCAGCAACGAGAUAAGAAGAUCUCUCCCAUUUCCAAGCGUCUAUGAUGAUUCUGAGGCACAAGGUCACAUUUGACAGUACUAGGAAACCCAGGAAACAAGAAGCAAAGAUGACAAAGGCUGUGUCUGCCUGGGCAGACGAUCUAUUUGGACAAGAUAAUAGACCCAGGCAUGGACAUGCUCUCCAAGAAAGAUGCCCUGACAGCUGCUCACACUGAAGCUGAAUCGAACAUUCCAAUCCUUAGAGGUUCCAGCGAAGAUCUUGAAGUCUCCCUGAGCCAUUGACACAAUGGCCAUGCCAUCCCAGUGAUAAAACACAAAUUGUGGCCUUGUUUUGGACAGAAAUAAAGAGCCCAGUUUGUUAGUGA